rnacentral:misc_RNA from 1 species
AAGUCGUAACAAGGUAACCGUAGGUGAACCUGCGGUUGGAUCAUUAUAAAAUCUUCAAUUCAUUUUGGAACGAGAUUAAAGUUCAAGUACAAAAUGAAACCCCUUUCCCAAAAGGAGAGGGGGAAACCCCACAUUGUGUGAACUCGUACAUUGUCUCUGGCGGGGGAGGAAGGAGAUUGGGGAUUUUCCCUUCGGGGGGCAUUCCUUUUUGCAAUUCCUCGUCAGCUCGGAUCACUCGUCAAGGGUGAACCCCGGGCCGUGGACAUCCCGCCAAAAACUUCCCUUGGGAGAUCCUUGUCUGGGUCUCUCUCAGGGGAUAUCUUGUGCUCAACUUUUGUGUUUUGGGGAAUGCUUCUGAGAAUUUGACUGAGCAGAUGCUCGGUACUUUUGAAAACAAUCAUUCAAAACAACUUUUGGCAACGGAUCUCUUGGCUCUC